rnacentral:rRNA from 1 species
UGGUGGAGCAUGUGGUUUAAUUCGAUGCAACGCGAAGAACCUUACCUACUCUUGACAUCCACAGAACUUAGCAGAGAUGCUUCGGUGCCUUCGGGAACUGUGAGACAGGUGCUGCAUGGCUGUCGUCAGCUCGUGUUGUGAAAUGUUGGGUUAAGUCCCGCAACGAGCGCAACCCUUAUCCUUUGUUGCCAGCACGUAAUGGUGGGAACUCAAGGGAGACUGCCGGUGACAAACCGGAGGAAGGUGGGGAUGACGUCAAGUCAUCAUGGCCCUUACGAGUAGGGCUACACACGUGCUACAAUGGCAGAUACAAAGUGAAGCGAACUCGCGAGAGCAAGCGGACCACAUAAAGUCUGUCGUAGUCCGGAUUGGAGUCUGCAACUCGACUCCANNAAGUCGGAANCGC